AUUUCUUCAAAACAAACGUCUAUCUUACAACUUAAAAAAAAAUCUUAAACAUAAACCAAAAAUUGGAAAUAUUCUAAACAGGAUUGCAACUUAUGAAAUCCAGAAAAAGGUUAGAAAGAUAAAUAAUAUAGACAGAAAGAAAUAAAAGCCCUAAGAAUUCUGACACGUGAUGUCACUUCCUGUUUCCUGUUGCAAAUGGAUACAUACGAUGAUGUGUACAAUGCUCUGGUUUGAAAGUUUGUGGUGGGAAGCCUGGAUGAUACACAGAUUCCAAAUUCAAGUCAUCCCCCUACAAAUGGGUGACCAUAUGAUCUUGUCUUCACUGAUUACUCACAGCAUUGACCGCUUUGAGGAGAAGUCGGCGUGGAAUAUAACAUCUGGGUAAGUUCCCCAGCUGGACCACAAAUACAUGGAGUUAACAGCAGGAGCUGAUUUAGCAGUUUUUACAGAAUUAAAUUGUUAUUUUUUUGCAAGUCAACAAAGAUGAUCGAUCACUCUGGGUCAGUAUUUGGCUCCACAGUCUCUCCUUUUUUUAACUUCUUUUUCUAUUAUAUAUUAAGACAAAUUGAGCCACCGAGAAUUCAAAAGCACAGCAUUUGAUUCUGUCCCUCGCCUCUGCCACAUACAGCUUUCACCUCGUGUUCACAUUGGAGGGAAAGAGACGGCCUCUGCACAACGACACUGUAACCUAUCUUCUCACAUGGGCUGGGCUGGGCUGGGCUGGCGCCAGGGCUGUUUGCCUCAUAGCCUGCGCAAUGGGAGUCAGCUCUAUUAUCAGAGCCUCUGCUUUGCCACCCUGCAGCAAUGCCAGCAUCCCCUGUUCCAGCAGAUUUAAUUCCUUAUCUCAAUUUAAAAAAAAUAGGGAAAAAAA
rnacentral:lncRNA from 1 species